rnacentral:piRNA from 1 species
AACCUUCCGGUAAGCCAGAAGGCCC